rnacentral:rRNA from 1 species
UACAGAGGGGGCAAGCGUUGUUCGGAAUUACUGGGCGUAAAGGGCGCGUAGGCGGCCUUCUAAGUCGAACGUGAAAUCCCCGGGCUCAACCCGGGAACUGCGUCCGAGACUGAAAGGCUUGAAUCCGGGAGAGGGAUGUGGAAUUCCAGGUGUAGCGGUGAAAUGCGUAGAGAUGUGGAGGAACACCGAUGGCGAAGGCAGCCCCCUGGGUUAACACUGACGCUCAGGCACGAAAGCGUGGGGAGCAAACAGG